UUAAAGCUCUUUCAGUGACCCCAGUGGAUCUGCUAUUUAUCUUGAUGCCAACAUUCCCAUACAUUUAACUCUAGAAACUUUAUUUUAAAAAAAGAAAAGAAAAAAGAAAGUAUUUAAGACAUUAAUUUCAUCGAAUAUUUACAAUGUAGGCCUUGAGAAAGUAUCAACUGACUACCUAUGAGGCACAAUUCAUCAAGAUGUUCUUCCAUGACGGCUCCACUAAAAAGAUUCGGAGAACUGCAAAAGCACUGCUGCAAAUCUACAGCUUCACAGAUUAUGCCAGUGUGGGACAGGGUUAGAGGGUGUAGGACUUGGGAGAUCCUGGCUGUAACCCAACUGAACCAUGAAGCUCACCAGGUGAACUUGGUCAAGCUAUGCCUUCACAAGGUCAAACGAAAUUAGUACCAUAUGAUUUUUGCAUCUAAUCUGAGGCUGGGACUAUAUUCAAAACUGCAAUAUGAGAAUACAGUACACACAGAAUUUUGUGGAGGGUUGGUGAUCAUCUGAAGCAAACUUGCUUACUAUCAAACUGGAAAAUAAUUUCAAUGAAGAACCGCCCUUUUGACAGAAGACAUCUGGAUUCUCACAGUAGCUGAGCAACAGCAUUGCCGGUUUGAGGACAGAUGUUGGAUCCUUUCUGCAACUGAAUAAUGACAGUACAUUUUUCUUGUUAAAACAGUCACCCAGAAAGACCCAAAGAAUGCUUUGAAUCUGAAAUAUGUCAUUCGUAAGUGUUGUUUAUGUGGUAUAGAAAGUGGAGAAAGAAAGUCAGUCUUUAAUUUAUUAACAUUUCUGUACUGUUCAAUAGCUUAAGCUCUCUUGGCGACUUGCAAAAUAGUUUUCAUGUUGUCCUAGCUGGUUCUCACAUUGUUGUCCCCUAGGCUUGCAUUAUAAUGUUCUUUCUGUAGAUCUGUUAGC